rnacentral:rRNA from 1 species
GUGUCAGCAGCCGCGGUAAUACGAAGGGGGCGAGCGUUGUUCGGAAUUACUGGGCGUAAAGGGCGCGUAGGCGGUGCAUCAAGUCAGGCGUGAAAGCCCCGGGCUCAACCUGGGAACCGCGCUUGAGACUGGUGCGCUCGAGUUCGGGAGAGGAUGGUGGAAUUCCCAGUGUAGAGGUGAAAUUCGUAGAUAUUGGGAAGAACACCGAUGGCGAAGGCAGCCAUCUGGACCGACACUGACGCUGAGGCGCGAAAGCGUGGGGAGCAAACAGGAUUAGAUACCCUGGUAGUCC